UACGUAGGGCGCAAGCGUUAUCCGGAAUUAUUGGGCGUAAAGAGCUCGUAGGCGGUUUGUCGCGUCUGCCGUGAAAGUCCGGGCUCAACUCCGGAUCUGCGGUGGGUACGGGCAGACUAGAGUGGAUGUAGGGAGACUGGAAUUCCUGGUGUAGCGGUGAAAUGCGCAGAUAUCAGGAGGAACACCGAUGGCGAAGGCAGGUCUCUGGGCAUUAACUGACGCUGAGGAGCGAAAGCAUGGGGAGCGAACAGG
rnacentral:rRNA from 1 species